rnacentral:rRNA from 1 species
CUACGGGACGCUCCAGUGAGGAAUAUUGCACAAUGGGGGAAACCCUGAUGCAGUAACGCCGCGUGGAGGAUGACGCAUUUCGGUGUGUAAACUCCUUUUAUAUGUCAAGAAAAUGACGGUAGCAUAUGAAUAAGCACCGGCUAACUCCGUGCCAGCAGCCGCGGUAAUACGGAGGGUGCAGGCGUUACUCGGAAUCACUGGGCGUAAAGGACGCGUAGGCUGUUUGGCAAGUCAGAUGUGAAAUCCUAUGGCUCAACCAUAGAACUGCAUUUGAAACUGCCAGACUAGAGUAUGGGAGGGGGAGAUGGAAUUAGUGGUGUAGGGGUAAAAUCCGUAGAUAUCACUAGGAAUACCUAAAGCGAAGGCGAUCUCCUGGAACAUUACUGACGCUAAGGCGUGAAAGCGUGGGGAGCAAACAGGAUUAGAUACCCUGGUAGUC